GACGAACGCUGGCGGCGUGCUUAACACAUGCAAGUCGAACGGAAAGGCCCUGCUUUUGUGGGGUGCUCGAGUGGCGAACGGGUGAGUAACACGUGAGUAACCUGCCCUUAACUUUGGGAUAACUUCAGGAAACUGGGGCUAAUACCGGAUAGGAGCUCCUGCUGCAUGGUGGGGGUUGGAAAGUUUCGGCGGUUGGGGAUGGACUCGCGGCUUAUCAGCUUGUUGGUGGGGUAGUGGCUUACCAAGGCUUUGACGGGUAGCCGGCCUGAGAGGGUGACCGGCCACAUUGGGACUGAGAUACGGCCCAGACUCCUACGGGAGGCAGCAGUGGGGAAUAUUGCACAAUGGGCGGAAGCCUGAUGCAGCAACGCCGCGUGCGGGAUGACGGCCUUCGGGUUAUAAACCGCUUUCGCCUGUGACGAAGCGUGAGUGACGGUAAUGGGUAAAGAAGCACCGGCUAACUACGUG
rnacentral:rRNA from 1 species